AUUGAACGCUGGCGGCAUGCUUUACACAUGCAAGUCGAACGGCAGCGCGAAGAAAGCUUGCUUUCUUUGGCGGCGAGUGGCGAACGGGUGAGUAAUACAUCGGAACGUGCCCUGUAGUGGGGGAUAACUACUCGAAAGAGUAGCUAAUACCGCAUACAACCUGAGGGUAAAAGUGGGGGACCGCAAGGCCUCAUGCUAUAGGAGCGGCCGAUGGAAGAUUAGCUAGUUGGUAGGGUAAAGGCCUACCAAGGCGACGAUCUUUAGCGGGUCUGAGAGGACGAUCCGCCACACUGGGACUGAGACACGGCCCAGACUCCUACGGGAGGCAGCAGUGGGGAAUUUUGGACAAUGGGGGCGAACCCUGAUCCAGCAAUGCCGCGUGAGUGAAGAAGGCCUC
rnacentral:rRNA from 1 species